GGUUAAGCGACUAAGCGUACACGGUGGAUGCCCUGGCAGUCAGAGGCGAUGAAGGACGUGCUAAUCUGCGAAAAGCGACGGUAAGGUGAUUAUGAACCGCUACAGCCGUCGAUGUCCGAAUGGGGAAACCCAAUGCACUUGUGCAUUAUCGUUAACUGAAUACAUAGGUUAACGAGGCGAACCGGGGGAACUGAAACAUCUAAGUACCCCGAGGAAAAAAAAUCAACCGAGAUUCCCCCAGUAGCGGCGAGCGAACGGGGAGCAGCCCAGGACCUGAAUCAGCUUGUGCAUCAGUGGAAGCGUCUGGAAAGUCGCGCGAUACCGGGUGACAGCCCCGUACACGAAGAUGCAUAAGUUGUGAGUCCGACGAGUAGGGCGGGACACGUGGUAUCCUGUCUGAACAUGGGGGGACCAUCCUCCAAGGCUAAAUACUCCUGACUGACCGAUAGUGAACAAGUACCGUGAGGGAAAGGCGAAAAGAACCCCGGCGAGGGGAGUGAAACAGAACCUGAAACCGUGUACGUACAAGCAGUGGAAGCCUACUUGUUAGGUGACUGCGUACCUUUUGUAUAAUGGGUCAGCGACUUAUAUUCUGUAGCAAGGUUAACCGCAUAGGGGAGCCGAAGGGAAACCGAGUCUUAAUUGGGCGUUAAGUUGCAGGGUAUAGACCCGAAACCCGGUGAUCUAGCCAUGGGCAGGUUGAAGGUUGGGUAACACUAACUGGAGGACCGAACCGACUAAUGUUGAAAAAUUAGCGGAUGACUUGUGGCUGGGGGUGAAAGGCCCAAUCAAACCGGGAGAUAGCUGGUUCUCCCCGAAAGCUAUUUAGGUAGCGCCUCGUGAACUCAUCUCCGGGGGUAGAGCACUGUUUCGGCUAGGGGGCCAUCCCGGCUUACCAAGCCGAUGCAAACUGCGAAUACCGGAGAAUGUUAUCACGGGAGACACACGGCGGGUGCUAACGUCCGUCGUGAAGAGGGAAACAACCCAGACCGCCAGCUAAGGUCCCAAAGUCAUGGUUAAGUGGGAAACGAUGUGGGAAGGCAAAGACAGCCAGGAUGUUGGCUUAGAAGCAGCCAUCAUUUAAAGAAAGCGUAAUAGCUCACUGGUCGAGUCGGCCUGCGCGGAAGAUGUAACGGGGCUAAACCAUGCACCGAAGCUGCGGCAGCGACGCUUAUGCGUUGUUGGGUAGGGGAGCGUUCUGUAAGCCGCUGAAGGUGUGCUGUGAGGCACGCUGGAGGUAUCAGAAGUGCGAAUGCUGACAUAAGUAACGAUAAAGCGGGUGAAAAGCCCGCUCGCCGGAAGACCAAGGGUUCCUGUCCAACGUUAAUCGGGGCAGGGUGAGUCGACCCCUAAGGCGAGGCUGAAAAGCGUAGUUGAUGGGAAACAGGUUAAUAUUCCUGUACUUGGUGUUACUGCGAAGGGGGGACGGAGAAGGCUAGGUUAUCCGGGCGACGGUUGUCCCGGUUUAAGCGGGCAGGUGUGAAGACCAGGCAAAUCCGGUCUUCUUUAACACUGAGGCGUGACGACAAGCCGCUACGGCGGUGAAGUAACUGAUGCCCUGCUUCCAGGAAAAGCCUCUAAGCUCCAGGUAACACGAAAUCGUACCCCAAACCGACACAGGUGGUCAGGUAGAGAAUACCAAGGCGCUUGAGAGAACUCGGGUGAAGGAACUAGGCAAAAUGGUGCCGUAACUUCGGGAGAAGGCACGCUGGCGCGUAGGUGAAGGGACUUGCUCCCGGAGCCGAGGCCAGUCGAAGAUACCAGCUGGCUGCAACUGUUUAUUAAAAACACAGCACUGUGCAAACACGAAAGUGGACGUAUACGGUGUGACGCCUGCCCGGUGCCGGAAGGUUAAUUGAUGGGGUUAUCCGCAAGGAGAAGCUCUUGAUCGAAGCCCCGGUAAACGGCGGCCGUAACUAUAACGGUCCUAAGGUAGCGAAAUUCCUUGUCGGGUAAGUUCCGACCUGCACGAAUGGCGUAAUGAUGGCCAGGCUGUCUCCACCCGAGACUCAGUGAAAUUGAAAUCGCUGUGAAGAUGCAGUGUACCCGCGGCAAGACGGAAAGACCCCGUGAACCUUUACUAUAGCUUGACACUGAACAUUGAGCCUUGAUGUGUAGGAUAGGUGGGAGGCUUUGAAGCGCGGACGCCAGUCUGCGUGGAGCCAACCUUGAAAUACCACCCUUUAAUGUUUGAUGUUCUAACGUAGGCCCGUAAUCCGGGCUGCAGACAGUGUCUGGUGGGUAGUUUGACUGGGGCGGUCUCCUCCCAAAGCGUAACGGAGGAGCACGAAGGUUGGCUAAUCCUGGUCGGACAUCAGGAGGUUAGUGCAAUGGCAUAAGCCAGCUUGACUGCGAGAGUGACGGCUCGAGCAGGUGCGAAAGCAGGUCAUAGUGAUCCGGUGGUUCUGAAUGGAAGGGCCAUCGCUCAACGGAUAAAAGGUACUCCGGGGAUAACAGGCUGAUACCGCCCAAGAGUUCAUAUCGACGGCCGUGUUUGGCACCUCGAUGUCGGCUCAUCACAUCCUGGGGCUGAAGUAGGUCCCAAGGGUACGGCUGUUCGCCGUUUAAAGUGGUACGCGAGCUGGGUUUAGAACGUCGUGAGACAGUUCGGUCCCUAUCUGCCGUGGGCGCUGGAGAAUUGAGGGGGGUUGCUCCUAGUACGAGAGGACCGGAGUGAACGCACCGCUGGUGUUCGGGUUGUCAUGCCAAUGGCACUGCCCGGUAGCUAAGUGCGGAAGAGAUAAGUGCUGAAAGCAUCUAAGCACGAAACUUGCCCCGAGAUGAGUUCUCCCUGACCCCUUGAGGGUCCUGAAGGGACGUUGAAGACGACGACGUUGAUAGGCCGGGUGUGUAAGCGCAGCGAUGCGUUGAGCUAACCGGUACUAAUGACCCGUGAGGCUUAACCUU
rfam:Plautia stali symbiont DNA, complete genome.